AUGACCGACAUUAUCCCAAUGCUUGAGGACCUGCACCCACUGAUAAAUUUAGGGACUGGUCAGCUUUCCUUGGCCUCCAGAGAGAACAUGAAUUCCUCAUCAGAUGAAAAUGAAUAUGACCUUGAGGAGGAGGAGCAGGACGACAGCGUUAGCUCAGAUAAUGAUGAAGGAGCGGAACGGCAGCAAGAUAACGGAGUUUAUUGGAAGGAUGUUGUUCAUCUAAAUUGUUUGGAUAUGGAGCAAAAUGAUAAAUUGGGGAAUAUGGUGGAGCUUCAAAGAGCAAAGAACAUGCUCAAGUUUGAGCUUGACAUGAGGACAAUUGACCUACAAGCUGCUGAUGCAACUCGGAAGCUGAAGGAUGCAUCAAGAUUCCAUGUUCAGGUCCCUUCGAUUUGCACACCAAGGCAUAACCCAUUCAAUCCUUCAAGAGAUUCAGAGGAAUCGAUAGAGUUACCGCAGAUUCCUGGCUCAGCACCAUCAGUUCUCCUUCGACGGCGAAACCUAUUUGAUCUUCCAUUCGACCAAGCCGUGCACCAGCGCAGUCGAUUUCAGGAAAGUUGGACUCCUCGCGCGCGCUUUCGAUCAGCUCAAGCACAAAGCAUGAAGUACAGGAACUCUUGUAGACAAAAUCACUCUACUUACAGUGGUGAAAUGGAUGAUAGUCACUUGGACGACGAUGCUGAGCAAGAAGGGAGCAAUGAAAAGCUAUUUGGUUCGCUGGAAGCACAUUUGGGUGAAGAGAUGAAAAUCCUAAGUGCCGCAAUUUCAGACGUGGGCGUGCUGGGCGAGGUAAAUCGUGAAACAGACGAAGGAAACAGAGAUGCUAAUGCCAGAGAUGAUGCAGCCUCAUUACCCGGAGUACAUGAUUCUGAACCGCACGGUGUGGAAGCAGACUCCAUGAGUAAAAUGAACUCACUGUUCAGGUGCCGUAUGGAGGAGGUGCUGGUGCAGUCCGUUUCAGAGGGCAGUGUCUGUCAGCCCUUGGGAGUCAAGCCUGAAGCUAUACCGAGUGCCCCGUUAUCUUCAGACUCGUGGAUGCAUGCCAGCAAAGGGAGUUCGAUCGAGGAAUUGAAGUUUCAGCUCCUGACAGCCGAUGAAGAAGCACCGACGACCUGUGCUGCCUCUGGGCUCAAUGGUCACAGUGAGUCGAUUCGAGACCAAUCGAGCGAAGCAUUACGGGUGGUAUACGAGCAGAGUUCAGGGCUGUCAACCGCAGGAGAGCAGCAGACUGCAGGUAUGUCUGAACCAAAUGAGACAUUGACUGCUUAUUGUGACGAGCUUCCUGUCGUAGAAGUUGUCAAUGUCUCAGUCGAGGAGAUGAACUCGCUGUUCGAGCAGCUCGAAGAAGAGGCGCAGCCGAGCAAUGGUCGUAGCAAAAUGGACAUUCCACAAGAUGGAUUGUGUCAAGUGGAGGUGGAUCCAGUGGAGCUUUCUCUAGAUCGCGGGUUGUCGGCGCCAUAA
rnacentral:rRNA from 1 species